rnacentral:rRNA from 1 species
UACGUAGGGUGCAAGCGUUAAUCGGAAUUACUGGGCGUAAAGCGUGCGCAGGCGGUUCUAUAAGACAGAUGUGAAAUCCCCGGGCUCAACCUGGGAACUGCAUUUGUGACUGUAGAGCUGGAGUACGGCAGAGGGGGAUGGAAUUCCGCGUGUAGCAGUGAAAUGCGUAGAUAUGCGGAGGAACACCAGUGGCGAAAGCGGCUUCCUGGUCCAGCACCGACGUUCAGGCACGAAAGCGUGGGGAGCAAACAGG